rnacentral:rRNA from 1 species
CCUACGGGAGGCAGCAGUGAGGAAUAUUGGUCAAUGGACGGAAGUCUGAACCAGCCAUGCCGCGUGCAGGAAGACGGCUCUAUGAGUUGUAAACUGCUUUUGUACAAGGGUAAACCUGAAUACGUGUAUUCAGCUGCAAGUACUGUACGAAUAAGGAUCGGCUAACUCCGUGCCAGCAGCCGCGGUAAUACGGAGGAUCCAAGCGUUAUCCGGAGUUAUUGGGUUUAAAGGGUGCGUAGGCGGAAUAUCAAGUCAGCGGUAAAAAUUCGGGGCUCAACCCCGUCGUGCCGUUGAAACUGAUGGUCUUGAGUGGGCGAGAAGUAUGCGGAAUGCGUGGUGUAGCGGUGAAAUGCAUAGAUAUCACGAAGAACUCCGAUUGCGAAGGCAGCAUACCGGCGCCCAACUGACGCUGAAGCACGAAAGCGUGGGUAUCGAACAGGAUUAGAUACCCGGGUAGUC